CUGAACACAGAAAAUAGCAUUCAACUACUCUGCUUAAGCAAGGAUGUUCAAUUAACAGUUUUAACACUGCCCCAUCCCCGUUUUAUGGCCGAAGGCACUGUGGCUUUGGAGAUAAAGGAUCUUGAGUGAGGAAGUGAAGUCACUGCAUCCUGGAAACAGCUGUGAUGUAUUCAACCCCAAAGUCAAGGUGCUCGUCUUGGUCUUGAACCAUCCGGGGCCUCCCUGACACUUAGGGUGCAGUGGUCGAGAAGAAGCAAAUCAAGUUGAAGUCCUUGCUAGCUACUCACAAGCAUACAAAGUUGCCAGCAGGAGACUGGAGCCUGCUGGCUCUGGG